UUUAAGUCCUCAAGGUAGAUGGCUCAGUCUGUUUGUUGGAGGCUACAAAAUAACUGAAUCUGCAGAGUCUCAUUACAGGUGCCACAGGACUUGUGUGCCCAGCCUGUGACAGGAUCGGUCUUCCCCAUAUUGGACUUCCCACAAACUUACAAACAGGGGUCACUAGAUUCAGCUUCCCAAAAGCUUCAAUAGGCAAUGCAUGGGUUGCAUCAGCGCAAUGGUCUAGCUUAUAGGAUGGUUGAUGUGCUUUCGAUCUUUCAAAAUGUUAUGUGCCAGUUACUGGAAGGAUUACCUACGACUGUGGGUUAUCUAGACAAUAUUCUGAUUAUAGAAAAAGAUACUCAAGGGUAUAUAGCAAAUUUGGAAGAGGUGUUUCCUUAAGGUUGAAACCAUUUUUGACACCAUACUGGUGUUUCUCUCAUUCCAAUACACAUCAUACUCCAGUGGCACUUAUUUCUACUCUGAUGCACCACUAGUUCUGGCUGUGGUUGCGAACUUCUAACUUGGCUUGUUAUACUGAUCUAAGUGCUGUAUUAGGAACUGGGGUUAUUCAGGUAGGGGGGUUAUGUUGAUACAGCAGUCAGAGCAGGACUCAAUGACAGGAGUUCUGGGUAUCCUCCAGCUGUAUUGGGUCCUGCCCCAUACUCUGAGCAUCUCAAUGAGGCCCACAUUUCUACAAUUGCCUUGGGGCGGGGGCAGGAAGAAGUAGUGGUAUGUUCCAGGAUUGCUGAGUACAUGUCUCUCCUUCCAGUAGGGAGCAGAGGGUGUCUGGCAUCAGCUAGUCCAGAUGGGUCAGUAGAGUUGCAUUGACUUUGGUGCUGGACAUGAUACUUAUACUGAUAGCAUAUACUUGUGAAAUGGCUUUAGACUGCAAUUUCUGGUGGAUUUUGGAUGUUGUUUUUACUCAGCAUUCUUCUCCAGCCUAAGCUUUACUUUGGCCCUUAUUAUAAUGAUUAUUUGUAUAAUGGUGGCUGUAACUGAGACUGGGACCCUAUUGAGCUAUACUAUACAAACAUAGUAAGAGCUAGUCCCUUCUUUGAAGGCCUUUCAGUCUUAUGCUUGGUCCAUACAUAAAACUUAUAUUGGCACAGUUUUGUCUGUCAGGGGUGUGGAGAAAACACUCUCCUCCCUAGCGACACAGGCAUGCUGACAAAACUACAAGUGUAGACAGCUUUGUCAAUGAAAGAGGAAUUCUGUCAACGUAGCUAACACCACUCAGGGAGAGGAUAUUCCUACCCCAGCAGAAAAACUCCUUCUGUCAGUGUAGGCUAUGUCUACGAUAGGGGCCUAUGCGGGCAUAGCUAUGCUGACAUUACAUGACAGAGCCUAUGUUAGUGUAGUGACAUACCCUAAUAGACAAGAAAGACAAUGGAUGGGAGGG
rnacentral:lncRNA from 1 species